UCAAGUUUUCAAUUACAAAAAUUAUAGUGGAACUCUGCCUAAUGCAUGGGAUAACUCAACAGUCACAAAUGCAGUAGAAAAGGAGUUACAUUGUUUCUUUAAAAUCUUUCUUUAAAUUGUUCCUUUGCAACACCAUUCAAAGGAAGGUUUACGGAUUCGGCAUAGCUAACAAAUCUUACUAGGGCCAUUCGACUUCGAAAAUGUUUGCUACAACACUAGCUUAUAACCUAUAAACUACAAAGCUAAUGGCACAUCCUAUUGAAUAUGUUAAAGAUAUCAAUGACUCCAAAGAUUUGCAGAAUUAGAGAUUUGUGGUCUGUCACAAACAUGAGUAACAAAGAGCACAUGGAAAUGGUUAUAAUUUAUGCAAAGUGCAACAUGAUCCAAGUUAUUAUACCACUACAUUUGGUUUCGAAGCAUAAGUCUACACUUAGUGUUGGAAAUACCUACAUCAUGCAGAAUUUCAAUGUUGGCAAAAAUGAUUUCUCCUUCAAAGAAACCAAUCAUAAUUAAAAGUUGAUAUUUUGUGGUGUAUCUUCCGCAAAAAUUGCAGAUUUUCCCGACAUUCCUCUAAACCAUUUGAACUUAAUUAGUUUGGCUGACAUACUUGUGGGAAAAUUUCACUCUGAAAUCU